UACGUAGGCAGCGAGCGUUGUUCGGAGUUACUGGGCGUAAAGAGUGCGUAGGCGGUUUUCUAAGUUUGGUGUGAAAUCUCCCGGCUUAACUGGGAGGGUGCGCCGAAGACUGGAAGGCUUGAGUAUGGGAGAGGUAAGCGGAAUUCCUGGUGUAGCGGUGAAAUGCGUAGAUAUCAGGAGGAACACCUGCGGUGUAGACGGCUUACUGGACCAUCACUGACGCUGAGGCACGAAAGCGUGGGUAGCAACAGG
rnacentral:rRNA from 1 species